AAUGAACGUUGGCGGCGUGGAUUAGGCAUGCAAGUCGAGCGAGAACCUUCAGCAAUGGAGGGGAAAGCGGCGAAAGGGAGAGUAACGCGUGGAUCAUCUACCCUCGGGUCUGGGAUAGCCGCGGGAAACCGCGGGUAAUACCGGAUAACGUCCAUGGACCAAAGGUGCGUUUCCGCCUGAGGAUGAGUCCGCGUCCUAUCAGCUUGUUGGCGGGGUAACGGCCCACCAAGGCGACGACGGGUACUGGGUGUGAGAGCACGACCCAGCUCACUGCGACUGAGACACUGCCCAGACACCUACGGGUGGCUGCAGUCGAGGAUCUUCGGCAAUGGGGGAAACCCUGACCGAGCGACGCCGCGUGUGGGAUGAAGGCCCUCGGGUUGUAAACCACUGUCAACGGGGAGGAAAUGCAGGAGGGUUCUCCCUCCUAUUUGACCUAUCUGUGGAGGAAGUACGGGCUAAGUUCGUGCCAGCCGCCGCAGUAAAAC
rnacentral:rRNA from 1 species